GACCUUAUUUCAAAACAGAGGGAAAUACUUGGUGUACAGGGAUCCUAGCUCUCUUCCGACAAGACUUCAACAAUGAAUUUACAGGCCCUCUGUCCAACCAGAGCCACUCCCUUCUGUCCAUGCCCAUGGUACCGGGGAUGGAACUCGGGUCCCUGUGCUUGCGCAACAGGCAGCAAAACCACUGAGCUAAAUCCCCAGCCCCAUGAAAUAAUUACAUUCAUCGCCUUGGGGAGCUGGUACAUGCACAUAGCACAUCUGAAUUCUUUUUACAGGCCCCUUCUUCCAC
ensembl:lncRNA